UUACGGCCACAUCACGUUGAAACUCCGGUUCCUGUUAGUUCACCGAAGUUACACAACGUAGAGCCUCGUUAUUACUUUGAUAAAUGUCCUCUUGGGAAUACCAGGUGCUGUAAG